rnacentral:lncRNA from 1 species
UCUCUAUAGCUUACUCAGGAAAAUGAUGAGGAAUCUUCCAGAGAGUGCAGCUGGGUGCUGGAGCUGACUGCAGUCUGUGACCAGUGGUGUUGGAUCCUGCCCACUUGAAGCUCCAUCACCAACCUCAUCCUUGGCAGUGACUGAGAAGAGCUGGAGGUCCCAAAUCACUAUUAUUAAUCACUUAAAAGAGCUAAAAAUAAAGGUGAGAAAUGGG